rnacentral:rRNA from 1 species
UUGCGUAGGUGGUUUGUUAAGUAGAUAGUGAAAUCUGGCGGCUCAACCGUACAGGCUAUUAUCUAAACUGGCAAACUCGAGAAUGGUAGAGGUAACUGGAAUUUCUUGUGUAGGAGUGAAAUCCGUAGAUAUAAGAAGGAACACCAAUGGCGUAGGCAGGUUACUGGACCAUUUCUGACACUGAGGCACGAAAGCGUGGGGAGCGAACG